GACGAACGCUGGCGGCGUGCUUAAAACAUGCAAGUCGAACGGACUUCUCAUGAAGCUUGCGAUUGAGAAGUUAGUGGCGGACGGGUGAGUAACGCGUGGGCAACCUGCCCCUGAGCCCGGGAUAACAGUUCGAAAGGACUGCUAAGACCGGAUAUACUUGCGGUGAAGCAUUUCACUGCAAGGAAAGGGAACGCUCAGGGAUGGGCCCGCGUCCCAUUAGCUAGUUGGUGAGGUAACGGCCCACCAAAGGCGACGAUGGGUAGCCGGCCUGAGAGGGUGAACGGCCACACUGGGACUGAGACACGGCCCAGACUCCUACGGGAGGCAGCAGUUGGGAAUCUUCGGCAAUGGGCGCAAAGCCUGACCGAGCAACGCCGCGUGAGUGAUGAAGGUUUUCGGAUUGUAAAGCUCUGUCUUCCGGGACGAUAAUGACGGUACCGGAGGAGGAAGCCAACGGCUAACUACGUG
rnacentral:rRNA from 1 species